UGAACCCUCCACAAGUUCUGCAGGCAUAAAGGCUUGGUCCUGGCCUUAUCAUCAUCUCACUCUCGACUUACACAUGCAAGUAUCAGCACACCCGUGAGAACGCCCUUCCACCUUUAUAGACUAAGGAGCCGGUAUCAGGCACAGGGACUCAACCCUAGCCCAUAACACCUAGCUUUGCCACACCCUCAAGGGUACUCAGCAGUGAUUAACAUUGUUCAUAAGCGCCAGCUUGAUUCAGUCAAAGAGUUCAGAGCCGGCUAAUACGGUGCCAGCCGCCGCGGCUACACCGCUAGGCUCAAGUUGAUGUUACUCGGCGUUAAGCGUGUUUAAAGUGUACACUAGAUUAGAAUUAAACUUAAACCAAGCUGUGACACGCUUGUUCCUAAGAAAACCAUAAACGAAAGUUAUUCUAACCAAACCACUUGAAUCCACGACAGCUAGGGCACAAACUGGGAUUAGGUACCCCACUAUGCCUAGCCGUAAAAUAUUUACUUACACCCCUAACCGCCUGGGAAUUACGAGCCCAAGCUUAAAACCCAAAGGACUUGACGGUGCCCCACCCACCUAGAGGAGCCUGUUCUAUAAUCGAUUCCCCCCGAUACACCUAACCACUCCUAGCCUCUCAGCCUGUAUACCUCCGUCGUAAGCUUACCAUAUGAACGCUUUUUAGUGAGCCAAAAGAUUUUUCAUAAAUACGUCAGGUCAAGGUGCAGCCAACGAAGUGGUAAGUAAUGGGCUACAAUUUCUAUCAUUAGAACACAACGAAAGACUAAAUGAAACCUAGUCAUGAAGGCGGAUUUAGAAGUAAAAAGAAAAUAGAGAGUUCUUUUUAAUUAGGCACUGGGACGCGUACACACCGCCCGUCACCCUCUUCAAAUGCUUUAACUACAGUACUUAACAACUACCCGCACUACAGAAGAGGUAAGUCGUAACAUGGUAAGUGUACUGGAAAGUGCACUUGGAUAAA
rnacentral:ncRNA from 1 species